CGAGAACUUAGAAGAUGAUUCCUCCCCAGCUGAUCCUCAGGUGAGACCUCAGCCUUGGCCAUCAUCUACAUCUGGAUUCCUGACUCAGAGAAACUGAAUUUUAUGGAACCUUGUAUUCUGUUGAAUACCAGAAUUAUAUCAGCAAUCCCCAAGCCCCAAAGUCACCAAAUGGGCAUCAUCAUGACAGCAGACCGUGAUCAUGGGCUACAUUCUCCGUACCAGCUUCAUAGCUCCAGUGAGAAAAUAAAUUCCUGCAUCCAGGAGAUGUGGAGUAAGAGAUACAGCUGCCCUUGACCAUAUUUCUUACUUCCGAGAAGAUCGUAGCAGUAAUUCAGAAUCUCAUCCAGGAUACCUCAUCACAGGCUGGAGUGCAGUGUCAUGAGCUUGGCUCACUACAGCCUCCAUCUUCUGUGCUUAAGGAUCCUUCCCUCUCAACCUCCAAGGUAGCUGAGACUACAGGUAUGUGCCACCAUGCUGGACUAAUUUAUUGUUGUUGUUGUUGUUUGUUAGAUUUUUGGUAGAGGCAAGGUUUCACCAUGUUGCCCAGGCCAGAGUCAAACUCCUGGGCUCAAGUGAUAUUUAUUUUGUUAUAGAGAUGGGGUCUUAAUGUGGUGCCCAGGCUAGUCUGGGAUUACAGGUGUGAGCCACUGUGCCUUGCCAAAAACUGCCAUUCUCAUCAUAUCGUACCAAGAGUACAAACUCAACAAGGGUACAAACUGUCAACCAGAGUAGACAUUCAUUAUUGGCAGAAUGUCUACAAAUUCCUUUAAACCUUCACCAUAAACAUGUGCCUACUCUCUUCCAAUUAUUUCAUGUGUAUUAAUUUAUUCAUUUAUACAUGCAUCUUUUAUUUAUAUCAUUAUCUAAAUAUGGAGAUUUAUUUUACAAUGCGUAUGUGCUAUUUUUUUUUUUUUGAGACAGAGCCUUUCUCUGUUGCCCAGGCUGGAGUGCAAUGGUGCGAUCUCAGCUCAUCGCAACCUCUGCCCCCUGGGUUCAAGCGAUUCUAGUGCCUCAGUUUCCUGACUGGCUGGGAUUACAGGCAUGAGACACUACACCUGGCUAAGUUUUGUGUUUUUAGUAGAGACAGGGUUUCACCAUGUUGGCCAGGUUGGUCUUAAACUCCAUACCUCAGAUGAUCCACCCUCCUCGGCCUCCCAAAGUGCUGGGAUUACAGGCAUGAGCCACCAUGCUUGGCCGCUAUUUUUUUUUUUAAUUGCACAAAUUGUUCCAGUGUUGGCUAUUGGAAGGUUUUUAAGUUGUCUCUUGUAUCACUUUGAAAUACCUCCAUAAUUAAAGUUUGAUGUUGUGUGGUUGGUUGGUUUUGUUGUUGUUUGGCAUUUUCUUUUGUUCAGUCACUAUUAUAUGCUCCAGUCUAUGAAUUUAAUUGUGCUCCAGGGUAAUUUGGUAAUUUUAUAAUUUCUACGAAUGUUUCCAACACCAUAUGACCUAAUCCAGCACCAUAUAAAUGGAUCCACUCAUUCUCUCAUUUGUAUGUAAUCUAGCACUCCCUGCAAGCAAGUUGAUGUUGUUAAUUUAAUCAUGCUACCUGAACAAGGUAUAUUGCUAUGUAGAAAAAUACAAGUUGAAACAGUCAAAAUACUGUGUAAUUCCAUUCAUAUGACUCUGUAGAAAAGGAAAAAGUGUAGUGAUAGUAGAGUUCAGUGGUAACAAGGGGCUUGGGAGAGAUAUAGGUGACAUCAGUGAACUACCGAAGAUUUCUUUUGGGCAGUGAAAUUCCUCUUUGAUACUGUAACGGUGGAUACAUCAUAAUGUUUUCCAAAUCCUGAAGAACUUUGUAACACAAAGAGUGUAGCUAAUUUAUGCAAAUUAAAAACCUUAUUUAGGAGGUCACAAGUUUGCCUUUUCACAGUAUUUUACCUUUUCCAACUUAUAUUUUUUAGCAAUAUGCUUUUUAGAUUUUUGAAGUACACCUCAUGGUUUUUAGAUUUGCCUUCACCUAAUUGUUGUAGGACAGGUGAGUCACACAAUUGGGGCUUAUCCUGAGAGGGUUAUUAGCUUUGUCCAGGAAAGAAUUUAAGGGCAAGUGGGUGAUGUUAGACUGCAAUAUUUUAUUGAAUGGUACUGCUCCUAGCAGAGCAGGGCUAACUCUUAAGCAGUGUGUUCAGAGUUGGCAACAUAUAGGCCUCCUGGCAACUGUGUUUAUAUGCAAUCAAACCCACUUUUAAUUAUAUGCAAAUUGAGGGGCAGAUCAAUGCAAAUUGAGGCAGGAAAGGGGCAGUGACUUCUAGGUUGUCUCCAUGGAAAGGGGCAGUAACUUCUGAGCUGUAGCCAUGGAAUUUGUAAACAGUUAUGUGGUUGGUAGGAGUGUCAUAUGAGUGACAAAUGAAGACUGCCAGGGAUCACAUUUACCACAAUGUACACGCUUCUGUCAGUUUUUUCCCUUUAUCCUGUCUGGAGCAGAUCUUAUUUUGGUCAUCAAGGUUGUGAAACCAGAAAACAAGUCCUUCCAGUCUCCUACCUCAUAAUGACAAAAGACAUUGAGCAUAAUUUCAUGUGAUUUUGGAUAUGACUAUGGCUUUCUUUUGAGAGUUGGCUAUUUAAGAUUUUGCCAUUUUUGAUUGGGAUAUUUGCCUUUUUAAUUUUGAGUUGUAAGACAUUGUAUAUUCUGGAUAAUAGACCAUUAUCACCUAUAAAAUUUGCAAUUUUCACAUAUUUUCUGCCAUUCUUUGGGUGCCUCUUUAUAUUUGAUGGUGGACUUUAAAUUGCAAAAGAUUUUAAUUCUAAUGAAGUUUAAUAUUUCUAUAUUUUCUUCUUUCCUUUGUGCUUUUCAGUGUCAUAUCUUAAAACAUUGUUUAACCAGAGACCACAAAGAUGUAUUCCUGUGUUCCUUUUUAUGGGUUGGCCCUGUUUAGCUCUUAUAUUUAGAUGGAUUAUCAUUUUGAGUCAAUUAUGUUUCUGGUAUGAGGCAAGAGUCUAACUUGCAUGUGGAUAUCCACUUGACCCACAAACAUUUGACAAGAAAAUAUUGCUUCAUACCUAAUUUAUUUGGCCACAGUAUAAAAGCAUUUCACCAUAAAUGUAGGGAUUCAUUUUUCAGUAUUAUAUUCUCUACUCCAUUGAUCAAUACAUAUAUCCCUAUACUAGUACCACAAAUCUUGAUUACUAUUACUUUGUAGUAAGUUUUGCAAUCAAGAAGCAUAUGUCUACUAUGCAAACCCUUUUUGUCCUUCUCAAGAGUGUUUUGGCUGCUCAUGAUCUAUAUUAUAUAUAAUUUUAGGAUAAACUUCUGAAUUUAGGGGAAGGUAAUGCCACCUGGUGUUUUGAGAGAAGUUGCAUUAAUUCUAUAGAUCCAUUUGGAAAAUAUUGCCAACCUAACAAUAUGCAUUCUGUAGUUUUUAGUGUACAUAUCUUAUACUUAAUUUGAUAAGGUUAUUCCUAAGUAUUUUUGAUGUGAUCUUAAUUGGAACGAUUUUCUGAGUUUUGUUUUUAGAUUGUUAAUUGCUAGUAUAGAGAAAUUUAAAAUAUUUUAUAUAUUUUAUAUGCUGCAAACUUCUUUGAACUCAUCUUUAAAUUCUAAACAUAUUUGAUAGAGUCCUUUGGACUUUUUAUACAUGAGAUCAUGUCAUUUGCAAACAGUCGGAGUUUGACUUCCUUUCCAUACUAGAAACGUUAUAUUUAUUUUUCUAAAUGAAUUGCCCUGUCUACAUUCUCCAGUACAAUGUUGCGAACAAGUGUCAACAGUGGAAAUAUUUGACUUCUUUCUAAUAUCAGAGAAAUUAGUGAACCUUUCAGAUUACUUAUGAUGAUAUGUGAGCUUUUCAUAGAUGCCCUUUGAAAUGAAGAAAGUUCUCUUAUCUGCCUAAUUUGCUGCAUGUUUUUAUAAUACUGAAUCUGGGAAUUUUCAAGUGCUUGUUGCACACCUUCUGAGACGAUUGUGUAGUUUUUAUUCUUUAUUAAUAUAGUGUAUGACAUUAAUUGUAUCAUAUGUUGAACCAAAUUUGCAUUCCUGAGGUAAAUACCUUUUGCCAUAGUUUAUAAUACUUUCUACAUGUUGCUGAUUUCAUUUGAUAAUAUCUCGCUGCUGAUUUUUGUCUCUGUAUUUAUAAGGCAUAUUGGUCUUCAUUCUCCUUAUUUGAAAUGUCUUUGUGUAGUUGUUCAAUCAGGGUAAACUAAUUCAUAGUAUACAAUGGGAAGUGAUCUAUUUUCUACUUCUUUAUUAUUAUUGUAUUGUUUUGAAAUAUUUUUGAUAAAUUAGUAUUAAUUUUAAGUGAUUUUAAUAACACAUCAAUGAGUUCCUGAUGAGGGCAGGGAGGUGAAUCCUAAGAACAAUCAUGUGAGUUUGGAAGGAGACCCUUCCCCAGCUGAGCCUCAGCCUGAGCCAUCCCCUACAUCUAGACCGAAGACCCAGAGAAACCGUGAGUAGUAUGUGUGUGGUUCUGAGCCACUAAGGUAUGUAGUAAUUUGUUAUGCACCAAGUAGUAAGUAAUAUACCUGACAGUAAUUGUUAGGUGGUAUUCUGGAUUAGGUCCUGGAAUAGAUAAGUAUAUGAUUAUUAGAAAACCUGGUAAAAUAUGAAGGAAGUUUGUAGAUCAGUUAAUAGUCUUGAAAAACAGUUAAAUUCUUAGUUUUCAUGAAUAUGCUAUGGUUACAAUAUAUAUUAACAUUCUAGUUAUCUGAAUGGUAUAUGAAACUGUCUGUACUUACCUAUGUGCAUUUAUGUAAAUCUGCAGUUAUUUCAAAAUAAAUAUGUUUUUUAAUAUUAUUAUUAUUUUUUUAAGAAAAGUAAGCAAGUAAAGACAUCAGCAAAAAACUUUUGCCUCCAGAUACAAGUGGGCAUGUAGGGAGAGAAUAGUAAACUGGCUUUUCUUUUCUUUUCUAGGCAACAUUCGAAACCCAGGUGCCACUCCUUCAGGAAGGUACCAUCAAGCUCCAAGGACUCAUCCUCUUUCUCCUUCCCCACUACCUAGUCAUUAGAGCGUCAGCAUCCACUUCCUGAAAGGAAGAUGCCUGUUUUUCACAUAUCCCAGAAAGCCUCAUUUUAGGACAGCAUUUAGCAGAGUGUAUUCAGGAUCCCACUAACCUUUUCGGAAGACAUGACUUCCAGAUGAUAUAAGGCUCCAUCAGGAACUGUGCAGGACUGUGCACUCUGUUGAUACUCACAUGGUGGAAUUAUAUUGCCCUUGGCCAACCCUAAAGCCAUCAAGAUAGCAGGUUUGGAAUAAUUCACUGUCGAAGUCUUCUUGAGCUGAGCAGUCAUGUGAGCUUGGAAGAUGAUCCCUCUCCAGCUGAUCCUUCAGCUCAGGCCAUCAUCUACAUCUGGAUUCCUGACCCGGAGAAACUAUGAGUAAUGUGUGCUGCUUUUGAGCCACUAAGCUACAUGAAUUAAUGAAGGAUCAUUAUUAAGUUUUUAAUGGGUCAAGAGAAAGUUACCACUGAGGUCUUCUCUACCUGGGCAACAAUUGACUCCUAACAACCACUAUAAGCUUGGAAGAUGAUCCCUCCCCAGCUGAUCCUUCAGGAAUUUCCACUGAAGUACCUCUGGUUGAAAAGGAGAACAGAGACUUUUUUCACAGCCACAGGACAAAAUUUGUUCAGAAUUAAAUGCUGAAAAAGGAGAACCUGACACCAUUAUUCAUAAUUUCACUGUAUAUGAAGAGCAACCCUAUACUCCAUACAAACAACAUAGACUGUGGAAUUAUGUUGUGAAAUGUAAAGAGAAGAUGAUUCCCAAAUUUAAAGGAAACUGGAGGUGUUCUGGAGAAACAAAUAGAGGCUGGAGUGCCGUGGCACAAUUAUGGUUCACCAGCCUCAACCUCCUGGGAUCAAGCAAUCGUCUCACCUCAGCCUCCUGAGUAGCUGGACUGCAGG
rnacentral:lncRNA from 1 species